rnacentral:rRNA from 1 species
GAUGAACGCUGGCGGCGUGCCUAAUACAUGCAAGUCGAGCGAACAGAUGAGGAGUUUGCUCCUCUGACGUUAGCGGCGGACGGGUGAGUAACACGUGGAUAACCUACCUAUAAGACUGGGAUAACUUCGGGAACCCGGAGCUAAUACCGGAUAAUAUAUUGAACCGCAUGGUUCAAUAGGGAAAAACGGUUUUGCUGUUACUUAUAGAUGGAUCCGCGCCGCAUUAGCUAGUUGGUAAGGUAACGGCUUACCAAGGCAACGAUGCGUAGCCGACCUGAGAGGGUGAUCGGCCACACUGGAACUGAGACACGGUCCAGACUCCUACGGGAGGCAGCAGUAGGGAAUCUUCCGCAAUGGGCGAAAGCCUGACGGAGCAACGCCGCGUGAGUGAUGAAGGUCUUCGGAUCGUAAAACUCUGUUAUUAGGGAAGAACAAAUGUGUAAGUAACUAUGCACAUCUUGACGGUACCUAAUCAGAAAGCCACGGCUAACUACGUG